GUGAGCGUAGCUCAGUUGGUAGAGCCCCGGAUUGUGAUUCCGGUGGUCGUGGGUUCGAAACCCAUCGUUCACCCCA
rnacentral:tRNA from 1 species